rnacentral:lncRNA from 1 species
CUGCUGACCACCUGAACCUCUGAUAUGAGUGGGCAGAGGGUGAUGUGGCUAACCCCACCCUUGUGUAAUCUCUUGCCUGUGUUCUUGGUUCUGAGAGACAAAGGCGUCUCUUGCUAGUUACGGGGCUGGAUGCUGUGGGUCAGUUGGCUCUCUCUAUCGUCCCUACCCUAAUCUUGAGAAGUACUGAGCUAUGGCUCCACGAGGUUCUCAUUCAGGCUCCUUGUAGCCAGCACUGUACAGUCAGGAGUGCCCUCAGAGCAAGCUUCAGAAUCUGUCAGCUCUCACACCACAUGGCCUUCGGGAAUCUCCAUGCCAUUAGAAAACCUGAGCAAGCCAGACUCUGUGACGUGAUAGCCUAAUUACCAUUUCCCUUUUUUUUGGGAGUGGAGAGAGAAAUGACAUAUAGAUCAAUGAGUGAGGUGGAAGACUGAUUCAUUUAUUGACUCACAGAGAGUUUUUCCUUGAGCCAGUGCAACAGAAAGGACCAUCCUUGUAGCUGGGUCUGCCCUGGAGUGUUGAGAAGUCUGAACUGUGCCCAAGGCUCAGAGACAGAAAAACAAAGAGGAUGUUUAGCAACACGUCCCUCCAUGCUCACCUUGCUCUUGUGCAGGCAGUCCAGAGAUAAUUAACUCUGAGGAAGGUGACCCUAUAUUCAUUGUCCAUGUGCAGACAUUUUAAGAGUGAAAGGGGCUGCUUUUAAUUGGUAUAUUGGGAUGCCAGGCAUAAACGGGGAAUAUUGUAGGCCAACCAGACAUAUGGUUGUCCUAACCACAUGAUUACCUAGUAGUCAUUGGCCUGAUGACUACUCCCUAGUUGGUGCUCUCUGUGCUUAAGGAGAGAUCCUAGGGCCAAGAUGUUUCUGGAUCUUUUUUCUGCAUCUAUUUUUUUUUUCUACAUUCUCAAAGGCAGUUUUUGGAACAUUCUUCAUUUUUUUGAGAUCCUUAUGUUUCUGAGAGGUCAGUGUUAGCCAAUUUAAUCCAAGACAACUGAUUUCUAUUCAAAGCAGAGGAAGGGAGUGGUUAAAAUGGACAGUUUGAAGGGAAGAU